GCUACACAGAGCUCUUCUUCAGUGCCAAAUUUUGUCUCUCUCACCAACAGAAGUGGGUCCAAUAAAAGAGAUGACUUCACCCACCUUAUCUACAAUAUCCUGGGACUAACACAGUUACAGAACGGCCGAGAGAAAAAAAGCACUCGACUGUGAGUCGUGUGAACCGGAGCGCCUCGUCGAAUGUUGAAGCUUUGAGGAGGCAAUCGUCGAGGUGUCUGGAGACCUAAAGACCGGAGGGUUGUUCUGGAGUCUUUCAUUGAAUGAAGCACUUCAUUCGUGUUAGCAGCAAAGAGUUUGUCACCGUCGAAGGGAAGAUCUUCAAUUGUGUUCUGAACUUCGCGAGGAAAAAAGGAAGAGGAGAGCCAUGAGCCCCGUCGCAUGACUAUCGCUGUAGCGGUAGAUCUUGCCGCUGUGUUGGCUACAUCGAGGGCUGCUUGGAGAGCGGUGCGUGAAAUGGCUUGGCCCUCAGAAACUAUAGCUCUGAACUGUUGUUUUCUUUGUUCUGGAAUGUCAUCAAUAAAGUCCAUUAACUUA